rnacentral:rRNA from 1 species
AUACGGAGGGUGCAAGCGUUAUCCGGAUUCACUGGGUUUAAAGGGUGCGUAGGUGGGUCUGUAAGUCAGUGGUGAGAUCUCCGAGCUUAACUUGGAAACUGCCAUUGAUACUAUAGAUCUUGAAUACUGAGGAGGUCAGCGGAAUAUGUCAUGUAGCGGUGAAAUGCUUAGAUAUGACAUAGAACACUAAUUGCGAAGGCAGCUGGCUACACAAAUAUUGACACUGAGGCACGAAAGCGUGGGGAUCAAACAG